AGGGGUUUUUGGUUUUUUCCUUCGGGACACGGGAUACAGGUGGUGCAUGGUUGUCGUCAGCUCGUGUCGUGAGAUGUUGGGUUAAGUCCCGCAACGAGCGCAACCCCUAUUGUUAGUUGCCAUCAUUAAGUUGGGCACUCUAACGAGACUGCCGGUGAUAAACCGGAGGAAGGUGGGGAUGACGUCAAAUCAUCAUGCCCCUUAUGACCUGGGCUACACACGUGCUACAAUGGAUGGUACAACGAGUCGCGAGACAGUGAUGUUUAGCUAAUCUCUUAAAACCAUUCUCAGUUCGGAUUGUAGGCUGCAACUCGCCUACAUGAAGUCGGAAUCGCUAGUAAUCGCGGAUCAGCACGCCGCGGUGAAUACGUUCCCGGGUCUUGUACACACAGA
rnacentral:rRNA from 1 species